CAAAUGCACAGAGCUCCACCUGUCUCUGUUUCCUGAGUGCUGGAACUGAAGGUGUAUGCCACUAUGCCUGGCAAGUUCUGCUGUUUUAACCUAUCAAAACUGUGGUACUUUGUUACAGCUCUGACCCCAAACACAACCCAAGAGACACAGGCCUCGCCGAUUACAGGGUCCACCACCUCCCAAGAGAGCCAAGCCUGGGACGAAGCCUUUAGCAGACAUCCCAGGCCCAAAUGACACCAUCCCAUAUCUGCCGUGGCUCAGUUUUGUUUUGGAGGAUGUGAUGCGACCUUACACUGCUACGACUUUGCCGCCAUGAUAGACCGUGAGCCAAAAUGAUCCCUUCCUUCAUCAAACUGCCUGUGCCAGGCACGUGUCACAGCAAGGAGAAAAACAACAAAUACCGGGGCGCUAAAGCAUUUUACCUACCGAAAGA